CAAACAUCAAACUGCCUUGAACCUAUUUGGGUUGAACAAUAACAUAUAAAUGGCAAUCCAUGUGGGGUAUCCAGAGAGGCAAUUCUGGUGCAGAGAUCAUCAGUAUACACACAAACUGCACCACUAAUUCACUCAGAGAUGGAGAAAGAUGGAGAAAAGACAGGAUGGGAGAAGAAGAAAGAAAUUAUUAUUAUAAGGUGAUAUUUAAAAGGCUGGGAAUUUAAAAUGUCCAUUUAAUGUCCUUAUUUAUUUUAGAGUUGUUGUUUUAUUAACAGAUAUACAUGAUUUGUUGCUCAGUUUAUGUCUCUUUUUUUCAUAUUAGUGUAGGGUAGUAGUUUACACAUUUUCCUAACAGCAAAAGAUCCCCAUUUGAUUCUGGGAGGAAACACCAAUCCCUUGGGGGUAGUGUCAGGAAGCAUCCUGCAUCUGCCAGAAAGAAAUCUGCCAAAUCAAGCAUGUAGAGCUACCCGCUGUGGUGACCCCUUGCCACAAAUUGAGGUGUACAAACUUUUUGUUACUCAGAGGUUGCGUGAAAGGCAGUUUAGUGCAGGUUACAGUGGUUAGUUGAAAUACUUUGUUCGUCUGUUGCAGAGUAGGCUGUGGUCUUCACGGUCAGUGUGAGGUUGAGAUGAGUAGCAGAUAUCACAUUAAAUUUAAGUUGAAUUACACUUUCGUAUUAGCUUUAUUCUAAUAUAAAGGUGUGUAUGAGAUGGAAAUCAGCCGUGAUAGCUCAUUGAGCUUUGGUUUAUAACUUGUUGAAGGCAGUUGGCUAAAUCCACGAGCAGCAGCCGCUGAUCACAGCCUGUAUACUAAAUCUACUGGACCACACAAUGGAAAUGGUUGCUAAGUGACUAUUUCCCCAUGCUGCACCCACACCUGCUGAAUCCCACUUUAACUCUCGACUAUACAAAUGUUUCUGUUUAGGUGCAGAAACAGUCACCUAUCUACAUUUGUUAGUUUGUAGUACUGUAGCUACUUUUUUAAAAUUCCCAUUACUUUUGUCUCCUUUGUCUAUAUCGCAGAAUUAGAAUAGAAUAGAAGCCAGAAUGAAGUUUGCAUUUCCUUGUUUUGUUUUAAUAACGAGCUUCAGCUUUUCCACUUUUACUUGAGUAAAAAAGUUGAAUCAGUACUUCAGCUUUUAUCAGAGUACCUUUUAACACAAGGAUCUGUACUUGUGACAAAUGUGUGCACCUUUGCCAUCUCUGCCUGCAAAAGGAUUCUGGAGCUCCCCGUUUAUGUUCCCAAAACUCUGAAUCAAAGAUAUGUUUUUCAGAUUUGGCUAGCUUAGUGUGGAGGUAUUCUCAAAGAUCAUGAAAUCCCCUCUCGGAUUGCUCAGUUUUUCUUCUGCUUUCCCCCCCACUGAAUAACAAUUGAUGAUUUUAUUUCAUAAUUUCAGAGUUAUAAUUAUUUUCACCCAGGGGGGCCUUGCUGAAGCCAUGGUCGGUGCAGUAAUUAUUCCCAAGGAGGGAGUAAUGGGACAUUUAGAGGACGACACUGCCAAAGAUUUCUGUAACGCUCCUUUGCACUUGUGGUUGGAUGCACAGUCACAUUUUAUCCAUUUAUAGAAAAGCAAUUAGGAGAUAAGCAAUGACAUAGAGUGAGAGAUGGAGUGAGAGAGAAUGACAAUGAGGGAGUGACUGAAGUAACAAAUGAGAUGCACUUGUUGUUGUGGAGAUGCUCUGCUUCCUCACAGGAAGAGUGCAAGCGUGGGGAGGAUGUACAGCAAACAUCCUGCAUGUGUCACUCUAGAGACUCACAUUAGGCUGCAGAUACCACAUGAAAUUAUGGAAACAAGAACAUUUUGAAAACAAAGAGACAGCAAAUAAAGACACAUGUAAGCGCCAUCAAGGGAGCUGUUGGACGAGACACAAACAGGGGAGCCGGAGUCUGGUAGUCCGGGCUUUUUAGAAGAAUGCCAACAGUGCAGCUCUGUGAGAAAUGGCUGUCAAAGAUGCCCGAUUCAUUCUGGACACAAACGGAGAAUAGAGAGCAUUGUGUUCAUGCUUUGAUUUUACAAAAUAUCCUUGUGUGUCAACCUUCAAUGAAUCAUCAUGAAAAAAAUAUUUGUUUUAAUCUCAUAUCUAUGUUUGUACUUGUAAAUAUGACACCAAUAUAUAUUAUGGGGCAAAAAAUAAGAGGCUGAAGUCUGAUUAAAUACUUGGACUGCCUGAAGAUCCUUUUUUGUUGUGACAAUAAAACUUCAAACAUUAGCUGAUCUCUAUUUUUAUGCUUUACCUGUUUUUUUUUUAAAGGCUUAUUAAAAAUGCACUUUUCAAGAAGAUUGGUCCUAAGAAAAAUCCACUAGAUAUAAAGCUAUUUUUCCUCAGAACUCCUCAAGAAGCUACAGUUCUUACAUUUGCUCUGAAGAGAAUCAUUCUGAGUAAAGUUUUAAUCCAUCUAAACAUAUCUCUCAUUUUAGCUCUGGUGUAGUCUACAUCAAUUUCUUUAUCUCUGUCUGGCUGUGAAGCUGCUAUAUGUCCCUUUUCUUUUCUUUUUUUCUUUUCUUUUUUGGAUUGUUUAUACCAGCUCAUCUUUAGAUAUCCUGCAGUAAAAAAAGUCUUAAUGAGAGCCAUUACUGUAUUACCAAAUACAGAAUUAUUAUUGCAUUGAGUUGCCAUAAUAAAAUAGAACUGAGUAUGGGGAGUUAUUGUUUUCUAAAAACGACAGUGACAAAAAUAUGACCGUUUUCAUAUGUCAUGUUUUCUUUAAUAAUAAAAAGCUUUAUGCUGAUACUAAAA
ensembl:lncRNA